rnacentral:rRNA from 1 species
GGGUUGUAAACUAUUGUCGUUAGGGAAGAUACAAGACAGUACCUAAGGAGGAAGCUCCGGCUAACUACGUGCCAGCAGCCGCGGUAAUACGUAGGGAGCAAGCGUUAUCCGGAUUUAUUGGGUGUAAAGGGUGCGUAGACGGGACAACAAGUUAGUUGUGAAAUCCCUCGGCUUAACUGAGGAACUGCAACUAAAACUAUUGUUCUUGAGUGUUGGAGAGGAAAGUGGAAUUCCUAGUGUAGCGGUGAAAUGCGUAGAUAUUAGGAGGAACACCGGUGGCGAAGGCGACUUUCUGGACAAUAACUGACGUUGAGGCACGAAAGUGUGGGGAGCAAACAGGAUUAGAUACCCUGGUAGUCCACACCGUAAACGAUGGAUACUAGGUGUAGGAAAUGAUUUUAUUUUCUGUGCCGUCGCAAACGCAAUAAGUAUCCCACCUGGGGAGUA